CAUGCAGUUUGGGAAACAGUAUAUACAACUGCUUCAAGCAGCUGAAGGAUGGGGUUAUUGAAUAUCCAACAGUAAGUAUAUAACUAGUGCUUUAAUUACACGCCCCAAAUCUCGGUAAAGCAAGUAUUUACAGCUAUAGGUUUUGUUAUUUGGUGCAGUUAGGCUAUAACGUUUUUACGCGAUGAAUUUUGCACGAGGGUUUUGUCUUCUUAAAUGUUUCGUUUUAUUUGCAUGAACAUUGCCAAAACGAUAUUCAUUUGAAUAGAAGUGCGCAGUUCACAAAAUCCUAAAGAUCACAAAACCAAAGCAUGGAUACAAAAUUCUUCAAAAUUUAGAAUUAUAAGAGUACUUACAUUCGUGCAGGAAAAUAAAAAUUUUGCCCUCUGCCAUUUAUAGGAAUAUUGGAAUUGCAAACUUUGUUCAUGCAGAUUCUCAUUUUGGUCGCUAUCCAGAUUGAUGAUUGAGAAAGACCCUUCCAGUAUAUAUACUUAAAAUCCAGGAGCAAGAAUAUCUAUACAGCAUGUCAUAUAGAACAUGCAUGCAUUGUGCUUUCCCCGUGAUUAAGCCUAUAAUAUUAACUUGUAUACUGUAUAUAUGUAACUGUGUAUAAAAACAAGAUGAAACAAAUGCUUUGUGAAACGUGAUUAAUAAAAUUUAUAAUAAAUAUGUUUAUGUUUUAAUUAUUUGUAUAUCUAUAAUUGUGAAAGGCAUCCUAAUUGUUGGAGACAAUCAUGCAGCAACCAUGCGGCGUAUCAAGGAAUUAUGCUUAAAUUUGCAAGUCGAAAGUGCUAUUGUAGCGUGAAUUGUGAAAGAAUCUCUUCGUGCAUGGAGUAGAAAUUACACCAUUCCAUGUUGGGCAAAUUUUACUCUAGCUGUAUUUUUACCCUCUAAACUGGGGUAAUUUUUAGGACAAAUUAGUUACCCUCGUUUUUGGAGUAAAAU